GCUUACGGCCACACCGGCCUGAGUACGCCUGAUCUCGGAAGCUAAGCAGGGUCGGGCCUGGUUAGUACUUGGAUGGGAGACCGCCUGGGAAUACCAGGUGCUGUAAGCU
ensembl:rRNA 5S_rRNA 5S ribosomal RNA